rnacentral:siRNA from 1 species
UCACCCAUUAUUGUGAAGCCUA